rnacentral:rRNA from 1 species
UACGUAGGAUGCAAGCGUUGCCCGGAUUUAUUGGGCGUAAAGGGCGCGCAGGCGGCCACGCACGUCCGUUGUGAAAUCGCUCGGCUCAACUGGGCGGGGUCAGCGGAUACGGCGUGGCUGGAGCAAGCUAGGGGGCAAUGGAAUUCCCGGUGUAGUGGUGGAAUGCGUAGAUAUCGGGAGGAACACCAGUGGCGAAGGCGGUUGCCUGGAGCUUUGCUGACGCUGAGGCGCGAAAGCGUGGGGAGCGAUCCGG